rnacentral:rRNA from 1 species
CUUAAUCACUAAUUUUAACCCAACAAUGUUUAUAAAAAAACAUGACCCACCCCUGAAAAUUAAACCAUUUUUUUGCCUGAGUAUGGGAGACAGAAAAGGCUUACCCAAAGCAAUAGAGAAAGUACCGCAGGGGAAAGCUGAAAGAGAAAUGAAACAACCCAUAUAAGCACCGAAAAACAAAGAUUAAAUCUU